CUGGGUUGAGACGUGCAACACAGCUCCCUUGAAAGUUAGAUGCAGCUGCAGAAAGACUGGAGAAACACAUCCUAAAAUACAAGACCAAAGGGAUCUGUGCACCAUAUACAGAUCUUGUGACAGACUAUUACAGAAUAUAAGAAGCAGAAGCAGCCAAAAUCAUCACCAGACGUUCCUCAGAAGAUGGCUCAACUUUUGAAUCUUAUUAAAAAAAUACCAGAAUUUCUGAAACGAUUUCCUUUUCUCGUCACUCUUCCAUCUGGCUUUUCUGUAAUUAAAGUGGAGAAGAUCGUUGAAAUCAACUUUUCAUGUCCUUGUGCAGUUGAUGCAAAUGCCAACCUUACAAUAUCCAUGUUUGCUGGACCUUCUUUUUUUAUUUUUGCUUUACUGUUUUUCUUUUAUAGGCCUUUGAAACUUCCAUGGUCUUGUUGUUCUCCAGGAGCAAAUAAUGAUACCCAGCAGAACUGUGCUAAAGCUUUCAUAUAUUGUCUGAUUCCACCUAUUAUGUGGCUUAUCGUCUUGUUUCUCGAUGGAGAUUACUUUUCUUGUGCCAAGACACACUGGAAUGGAGUUUAUGUUUUUGAUGAGCAGCUCAACAGGUCAUGGUGUAAACCUAUCGAAAAGACGGAAAAAGAGAAUGAGCUACGUCUUUUGACUCAAAAAUAUAUUCAUGAGUCUCAGAAUAUAGGUUAUGUCCUGCUUGCUGUCUCCAGUGUCAUUCCGAUUGUCUUAGUGGGUUUUUACGACAGCUACAAAAGUGGAAAAUGUGACAGAUUACUACCCUGUUGUGGACGAACAGCCGAGGGACAGAGGCAAAGAAACAAAUCAGAGUAUGUAGAGCUUCCCUCUGAAGUAAGAACUGAUGUAGAACCAGCUGUAUAAAUUGAAAACUGGGUUCAUAUGAUCUGAUUCUUGUUCUUCAACUUCACACUUUAAACAUUCAGAGCUUCAUCAUAAACAGCUACUAGCAAAGACUGUUUAAUGCAUUAACCUACACAGUCUUACACAUGUAAAGUUGUUCAAAAAGCAUCCAACCUCUUAAAUGUUAACCCCAUUUUUGAACAUAGACAUAAGAAGUGCACUAUACAAACGUAAAUUGUUCUAAUUCCUGAAAGCAAUUCAUUUUGUAAUAUGAUAUUAAAGUACCAUUUCCAUGGUAAAGCAAUGUUUUUAAAAUGGUUUUCACAGAAUGAAUUUUGAGGUUUUAAGCUUUCAUUAUUUUAAGAUUUCAAAUGAUACAUAAUUUAUGAUGUGAUAAGGGGGGAAAAAAGCAACCAAAAAAGACUUUUUGUGACAACCCUCACAACUCCUGUUAUGAUGUAGAUUUUUGAGGUUCACUGUUGUCAUAAAUUAAUCUAUUACUGUUCCUACAUAAUUUGUAACAUGGUUACAGAUUUAAAAAGAAAAUGUAAAGAGUUAUGAGCUUGUAAAAAAAGGGUGUUUUAAUAAAAUUCCUUUCAGUCUCUCUUUGUCUGCAAUAGACAGAUAUUUAGCAAAAAUUAAAGAGACAAAUAUUUAAAGAAGUUCACUUCCAGAACAAAAAUUAACAGAUAAUAUACUCACCCCCUUGUCAUCCAAGAUGUUCAUGUCUUUCCUUCUUCAGCCAUAAAGAAAUUAUGUUUUUUGAGGAAAACAGUCCUGCAUUUUUCUCCAUAUAAUGGACUGAUUAAACUUCCAAAAUGCAGUUUAAAUGCGGGUUCAAACGAUCUCAAAUGCGGUUGUAAACGAUCACAGCUGAGGAAGAAGGGUCUUACCUAGCGAAACGAUCUGCUAUUUUUAUGAAAAUAAUACAAUUUAUAUACUUUUUAAUGUCAAAUGCUCGUCUUGUCUUCCUCUGCCUGGAUUGUUUUUGUUCCGGUUUAUGACAGUUAGGGUAUGUCGAAAAAUUCCCAUCUCAUGCUCUCCCUCAGCUUCAACAUCGCUGAAAUGUUUCCCUCAAAAAACAUCAUUUCUUUACGACU